rnacentral:rRNA from 1 species
UACGAACGCUGGCGGCGUGCUUAACACAUGCAAGUCGAACGGAAAGGCCCUGCUUUUGUGGGGUGCUCGAGUGGCGAACGGGUGAGUAACACGUGAGUAACCUGCCCUUGACUUUGGGAUAACUUCAGGAAACUGGGGCUAAUACCGGAUAGGAGCUCCUGCUGCAUGGUGGGGGUUGGAAAGUUUCGGCGGUUGGGGAUGGACUCGCGGCUUAUCAGCUUGUUGGUGGGGUAGUGGCUUACCAAGGCUUUGACGGGUAGCCGGCCUGAGAGGGUGACCGGCCACAUUGGGACUGAGGUACGGCCCAGACUCCUACGGGAGGCAGCAGGGGGGAAUAUUGCACAAUGGGCGGAAGCCUGAUGCAGCAACGCCGCGUGCGGGAUGACGGCCUUCGGGUUGUAAACCGCUUUCGCCUGUGACGAAGCGUGAGUGACGGUAAUGGGUAAAGAAGCACCGGCUAACUACGUG